rnacentral:rRNA from 1 species
UCCGCCAGGGUACUACAAGCGCUAGCUUAAAACCCAAAGGACUUGACGGUGUCUCAGACCCCCCUAGAGGAGCCUGUUCUAGAACCGAUAAUCCCCGUUAAACCUCACCACCCCUUGCCUCCCCCGCCUAUAUACCGCCGUCGCAAGCUUACCCUGUGAAGGCCCUUACAGUAAGCAAAAUGGGUAAAACCCAAAACGUCAGGUCGAGGUGUAGCUCACGAGGUGGAAAGAAAUGGGCUACAUUUUCUAUAACAGAAUAUUCACGAACAACAUCAUGAAACCGAUGUUUAAAGGUGGAUUUAGCAGUAAAAA